rnacentral:rRNA from 1 species
UACGUAGGGCGCAAGCGUUGUCCGGAAUUAUUGGGCGUAAAGAGCUCGUAGGCGGCUUGUCACGUCGGAUGUGAAAGCCCGGGGCUUAACUCCGGGUCUGCAUUCGAUACGGGCUGGCUAGAGUGUGGUAGGGGAGAUCGGAAUUCCUGGUAUAGCGGUGAAAUGCGUAGAUAUCGGGAGGAACACCAGUGGCGAAAGCGGCUACCUGGCCCAUUCUUGACGCUGAGGCGCGAAAGCUAGGGGAGCAAACGGG